CCCUGUGGCAAUGGGGAAAGAAACACCUUGUUGAUGGUGAUGUUCUAUAUCAGCCAGCAGAGGAGAUGGCAGUCCGUUGUUCAUCCUAGCUUGAUGCCUGGCAUGGUGGCCAAAGCUGUCUUAUUGCUAGUACUCAUAA